GAUGAACGCUGGCGGCGUGCUUAACACAUGCAAGUCGAACGGGAUCCAUCAGGCUUUGCUUGGUGGUGAGAGUGGCGAACGGGUGAGUAAUGCGUGACCGACCUGCCCCAUACACCGGAAUAGCUCCUGGAAACGGGUGGUAAUGCCGGAUGCUCCGACUCCUCGCAUGGGGUGUCGGGAAAGAUUUCAUCGGUAUGGGAUGGGGUCGCGUCCUAUCAGGUAGUCGGCGGGGUAACGGCCCACCGAGCCUACGACGGGUAGCCGGCCUGAGAGGGCGACCGGCCACAUUGGGACUGAGAUACGGCCCAGACUCCUACGGGAGGCAGCAGUGGGGAAUAUUGCACAAUGGGCGCAAGCCUGAUGCAGCGACGCCGCGUGCGGGAUGACGGCCUUCGGGUUGUAAACCGCUUUUGAUCGGGAGCAAGCCUUCGGGUGAGUGUACCUUUCGAAUAAGCACCGGCUAA
rnacentral:rRNA from 1 species